GAUGAACGCUGACAGAAUGCUUAACACAUGCAAGUCUUUGGCGAAGCUGUGCUUGCACAGCCUAGCCAAGGCGGACGGGUGAGUAACGCGUAAGGAACUUGCCCUGCAGUCAGGGAUAACAGACGGAAACGACUGAUAAGACCUGGUAAAGUCAGGCGGUCUCAUGUCCAGCCUGAUGAAAAGAGAUGCUGCAGGAGAGCCUUGCGUCCUAUUAGCUUGUUGGUGGGGUAACGGCCCACCAAGGCGAUGAUAGGUAGCCGGCCUGAGAGGGUGGACGGCCACAAGGGGACUGAGAUACGGCCCUUACUCCUACGGGAGGCAGCAGUGGGGAAUAUUGGACAAUGGGGGCAACCCUGAUCCAGCAAUUCUGUGUGCACGAUGAAGGUUUUCGGAUUGUAAAGUGCUUUCAGCAGGGAAGAAAAAAAUGACGGUACCUGCAGAAGAAGCGACGGCUAAAUACGUG
rnacentral:rRNA from 1 species